rfam:Neotoma lepida isolate 417 scaffold_127, whole genome shotgun sequence.
CAAACGGCUCUUUUCAGAGCCACCUCCAUUUUCAGAAAAAGCUGU